rnacentral:rRNA from 1 species
GAUGAACGCUGGCGGCGUGCCUAAUACAUGCAAGUCGAGCGAACAGACGAGGAGCUUGCUCCUCUGACGUUAGCGGCGGACGGGUGAGUAACACGUGGAUAACCUACCUAUAAGACUGGGAUAACUUCGGGAAACCGGAGCUAAUACCGGAUAAUAUAUUGAACCGCAUGGUUCAAUAGUGAAAGACGGUUUUGCUGUCACUUAUAGAUGGAUCCGCGCCGCAUUAGCUAGUUGGUUAGGUAACGGCUUACCAAGGCGACGAUGCGUAGCCGACCUGAGAGGGUGAUCGGCCACACUGGAACUGAGACACGGUCCAGACUCCUACGGGAGGCAGCAGUAGGGAAUCUUCCGCAAUGGGCGAAAGCCUAACGGAGCAACGCCGCGUGAGUGACGAAGGUCUUCGGAUCGUAAAACUCUGUUAUUAGGGAAGAACAAAUGUGUAAGUAACUAUGCACGUCUUGACGGUACCUAAUCAGAAAGCCACGGCUAACUACGUG